GAGCUCGCUUUGGCAGCACAUGUACUAUAAUUGGAACUACACCGAGAAGAUUAGUAUGGCCACUGUUCAAGGAUGACCUACAAAUUCAUGAAGUAUUUCAUAUGUUU